UACAGAGGUCCCGAGCGUUGUUCGGAUUCACUGGGCGUAAAGGGUCUGUAGGUGGUCUGCUAAGUCAGACGUGAAAUCCCUCAGCUUAACUGGGGAACUGCGUCUGAUACUGGCGGACUUGAGGACAGGAGAGGAACGCGGAAUUCCAGGUGUAGCGGUGAAAUGCGUAGAUAUCUGGAGGAACACCGGUGGCGAAGGCGGCGUUCUGGACUGUUUCUGACACUGAAAGACGAAAGCCAGGGGAGCAAACGGG
rnacentral:rRNA from 1 species